CUGAGUCUCACAGUAUACCGACACAUCUCAGAGUCAGAGACACGUUUCAAUACCACUGACAACAUGCUCGAUUUCCUUUGACAACCAAAACCUAUUGACAUUUUCCUAUACUGUACAUGAACAGUGCUAGCCUGGAUGCUAGGCUGUUUCUGCUUUAGCUAGCUUGUCUUGUGUUUCCUAAACUGCCUAGAAUCCAAGAGGGUGUUAUAUUUCUCAAUACAACCCCUUGAGCUUUCUUUCUUUCUUUCUUUCUUUCUUUCUUUCUUUCUUUCUUUCUUUCUUUCUUUCUUUCUUUCUUUCUUUCUUUCUUUCUGUUGUGAGCAUUGGAUUCAGUUGACCAACUAUAGUAGAUGUUUUUUUUCUAGAUUUGCUCAAGUUAUUAUGUGCCUUGCUAGGAUUUGCGUCUGUCUGGGUAUCAGAGUGACACUGGUUGAUGUUGUUUUUCCUCUGUAGCUUUUGGAUGGUUUUAUCACUAUGAAGGGAAGCUGCCCACACUCCGCAAGGUAUUCUGUACGGUCGCAGUUUGGUGUGCUGUGAGUGUGUUCUCUCGAAGCUAACACAUAUGCAGUGCCUUCAGAAAGUAUUCAUACUCCUUGACUUACUCCACAUCUGGCUGGUGCAGGAGGUAGGAGUAAUGAUCUGGCGGGUGUAGGAGGUAGGUGUAAUGAUCUGCCUGGUGUGGGAGGUAGGAGUAAUGAUCUGGCUGGUGUAGGAGGUAGGCAUAAUGAUUUGACUGGUGCAGGAGGUAGGAGUAAUGAUCUGACUGGUGCAGGAGGUAGGAGUAAUGAUCUGACUGGUGUAGGAGGUAUGAGUAAUGAUCUGACUGGUGUAGGAGGUAUGAGUAAUGAUCUGGCUGGUGGAGGAGGUAUGAGUAAUGAUCUGACUGGUGUAGGAGGUAGGAGUAAUGAUCUGGCUGGUGCAGGAGGUAGGAGUAAUGAUCUGACUGGUGCAGGAGGUAUGAGUAAUGAUCUGACUGGUGUAGGAGGUAUGAGUAAUGAUCUGACUGGUGUAGGAGGUAUGAGUAAUGAUCUGACUGGUGUAGGAGUAUUGAUCAAUAAACCUUUGCAGGAGGUAGGAGUAAUGAUCUGACUGGUGUAGGAGUGUUGAUCAGUAAACCUUUGCAGGAGGUAGGAGUAAUGAUCUGACUGGUGUAGGAGGUAUGAGUAAUGAUCUGACUGGUGUAGGAGGUAUGAGUAAUGAUCUGACUGGUGGAGGAGGUAUGAGUAAUGAUCUGACUGGUGCAGGAGGUAGGAGUAAUGAUCUGACUGGUGUAGGAGGUAUGAGUAAUGAUCUGACUGGUGUAGGAGGUAUGAGUAAUGAUCUGACUGGUGUAGGAGGUAGGAGUAAUGAUCUGGCUGGUGCAGGAGGUAGGAGUAAUGAUCUGGCUGGUGCAGGAGGUAGGAGUAAUGAUCUGACUGGUGCAGGAGGUAUGAGUAAUGAUCUGACUGGUGUAGGAGGUAUGAGUAAUGAUCUGACUGGUGUAGGAGGUAUGAGUAAUGAUCUGACUGGUGUAGGAGGUAUGAGUAAUGAUCUGACUGGUGUAGGAGGUAUGAGUAAUGAUCUGACUGGUGUAGGAGGUAUGAGUAAUGAUCUGACUGGUGUAGGAGGUAUGAGUAAUGAUCUGACUGGUGUAGGAGGUAUGAGUAAUGAUCUGACUGGUGUAGGAGGUAUGAGUAAUGAUCUGACUGGUGUAGGAGGUAUGAGUAAUGAUCUGACUGGUGUAGGAGGUAUGAGUAAUGAUCUGACUGGUGUAGGAGUAUUGAUCAGUAAACCUUUGCAGGAGGUAUGAGUAAUGAUCUGACUGGUGUAGGAGGUAUGAGUAAUGAUCUGACUGGUGUAGGAGGUAGGAGUAAUGAUCUGACUGGUGUAGGAGGUAUGAGUAAUGAUCUGACUGGUGUAGGAGGUAUGAGUAAUGAUCUGACUGGUGUAGGAGGUAUGAGUAAUGAUCUGACUGGUGUAGGAGGUAUGAGUAAUGAUCUGACUGGUGUAGGAGGUAUGAGUAAUGAUCUGACUGGUGUAGGAGGUAUGAGUAAUGAUCUGACUGGUGUAGGAGGUAUGAGUAAUGAUCUGACUGGUGUAGGAGGUAUGAGUAAUGAUCUGACUGGUGUAGGAGGUAUGAGUAAUGAUCUGACUGGUGUAGGAGUAUUGAUCAAUAAACCCACCCAGCCUUCUUCCUCCCAGCCCCCUACCUCUCCCUCCACUUUCCCCCAGACUCAACCCCGCCAUCCCCAACUUCUCCCCCCCCUCAUCCGCAAGCCUCCUCCCUCGGCUUCUACAGCGGCCUCCAGAGGAAGUCAGCUCCGUCCUCCUCCUUCCAAGUACCCUCCCUACUCCUCCUCCCACUACCCUCGUCCCUCACAGUCCUACAUGCCCCCCUCCUCCCCCCGGCCCACCCCUCAACCUCCCCCUCCUCCCCCCCCACCUCCCCCACCCCUUCCACCCCCUCCGCCCCCACCCCACCAGCACCCUGAGGAGAGGCUGGGGGGAGGGUCCUAUGGAUGGUACCACCACCAUCACCCCUCCAGUCAUCCAGAGACAAGGAGCGAGUGGAAACGGGGUGGGUAGCCUCCCUGGGGUGUCUAUGGUCUGGUCUGAAAACAGCGCCUAGCCCUUGCCUUCCACCGAAACCUUUUAGCUGAGUUGAUGGGAGCAGACAACAAUUCGCAAUGACUGAAUGGUGUGAAGAAGACAUCUCUUUCCUCUCCAUUGAAAUGAAAUGCUGUUUUUUAUUCAGUUUGUCAAGUCUCUGUGUGAUUUGUAAGGUUGUUAUAGUAUUUGACAGCAGUGGGUGUAGAAUCGCAUGGCGUGUUGUGGUGUGAUAUGCAGUAAGUAGUGGGUGUUGUUUGUGUGUGAAGACAUUAUAUUGUCAAUGGAGGCGAAAGAGGCUGUAAGUCAAGACUGAAUAGCUCCUUUUGAAGUGCACAAUAUCUCCUGUCUUGAUGUGUUCCACUUCAAACACCCCUGUGUGUGUGUGUGUGUGUGUGUGUGUGUGUGUGUGUGUGUGUGUGUGUGUGUGUGUGUGUGUAACAUUCAUAUUCCCAUAGUGUUUUGCAAAAGUAAUUUGGGGAUGAAUACACAGUACUCUUUCCCUGGUUCAGGAGAUGAGAAACACUUCCCACGUCAGUGGUGUAUCCAAUUCAAGCAAUCCCCUGGUAAGUCUGAUAUUUGAGAGUGUUCAUUACGCCUGCCUAGAAGGAGGUACUUGUGUGAUGUGAACAAAUGUUGAGACAAGCUGGAGAUAUGUUGACAUUGAAACCACACAACUUUCUUCACAGUUCUAGAACAUCCCCAGGGCUCUGACCUUACAGGGUUAAACAUAGAUAUACAUAGGGUUAAAUCACAGGGUUAAAGCUCUGAUGUCACUGGUGUCAUCAUGAGCUGUUUGUUCUGGGAUUCAGCAGUAGAAUCCUGCUUCUCACUGUAGACCACUGUAACCCCAUUGCUUGCUGUCAUAUUUGCUGCUGAAUGGAUGUUCCCAAUAACAAAUAGCUCCUAGCCCGCCCAACCAGAGGUGUCAGAUGGCCUCUGCCAUGUCUAAACCAGUCAUGUUACCCCAGAGCCAGUCCCAUCGACCUACCCCAUGCCAAGAAAAACAUGCUCCUAACCCCCCUCUUUAGCUCUCCCUAAAAACCCUCAAUCCCUUUGUGGACGCUUGCUAUGUUCUCCUGUCACUGUCCCUAGUCGGGGUGCUAGUUGGUUGUCACUGUCCCUAGUCGGGGUGCUAGUUGGUUGUCACUGUCCCUAGCCGGGGUGCUAGUUGGUUGUCACUGUCCCUAGUCGGGGUGCUAGUUGGUUGUCACUGUCCCUAGUCGGGGUGCUAGUUGGUUGUCACUGUCCCUAGCCGGGGUGCUAGUUGGUUGUCACUGUCCCUAGUCGGGGUGCUAGUUGGUUGUCACUGUCCCUAGUCGGGGUGCUAGUUGGUUGUCACUGUCCCUAGCCGGGGUGCUAGUUGGUUGUCACUGUCCCUAGUCGGGGUGCUAGUUUGUUGUCACUGUCCCUAGCCGGGGUGCUAGUUUGUUGUCACUGUCCCUAGCCGGGGUGCUAGUUGGUUGUCACUGUCCCUAGCUGGGGUGCUAGUUGGUUGUCACUGUCCCUAGCUGGGGUGCUAGAUGGUUGUCACUGUCCCUAGUCGGGGGGUGCUAGUUGGUUGUCACUGUCCCUAGCCGGGGUGCUAGUUGGUUGUCACUGUCCCUAGUCAGGGUGCUAGUUGGUUGUCACUAUCCCUAGUCGGGGUGCUUGUUUGUUCAAGAUGUUUUUCUGGUUUCUCUGCUGUACAAGACAAGGAUGGUUAGUGUACAGCGUAUUUAAGAUACUGUUUGAAGAGGUCUUGUUUCGAUCAUUUUCACAAUUGUACAAUAUUAUUCCAGUCUCACAGUGUGGAAAUAUAUAUAAAACACAGGAAUAUCACGUUUUUGAUUGUAACUCCCCUGAAUGUGGUAUGACUAUAGGACAAAGACAAUGUAUUCGAAAGAGCUUCUGAAGUUGCAUAAUUGUAAGUUUGUUAAUGGGAAAAUAUAGCUGUUUUUUCCCAUUCCUGAAAGGUUUCUGUUUUGGAGAUAAUAGCGAGGCUACGCUAAUGUCCCUUCCUCUCUUCCUGUCACCCUGUUUGAUUGCAUGACUAUGGAGAUAGCACUCUGCUCCCGCUGGUCAUUUACCAUAUGUCAGCACCACAGGAGGUUGGUGGCACCUUAAUUGGGGAGGACAGGCUCGUGGUAAUGGCUGGAAUGAUAUCAAAUACAUCACACACAUGGUUUCCAUUGAUGCCAUUCCAUUUACUCUGUUCCAGCCAUUGCUAUGAGCCGUCCUCCCCUCAGCAGCUUCCACUGGUCACCACCGUCCAGAAAAACCAAGGGAGGAUCGAGUCUUCAUAUAUUAUCCAUGUUGUCAAGGGUGAAUCCACAGAGACUAUUAUAGUCUUUGCAGUUUAUCAACAGAACUUGUCAGUAAACAAGUACUUAACCCUAAGAUGCAGAGAGGGAGAGAGAAAAAGAAAAAUCUUAGUGUCUCUUCUGAAUGACAUCUGGUUCCUGUGCUACAGCCGCCGGAGAUGCUGAAACAGAUGGUGACGUAUAACACCUCCUUUAGGUCCAACAACAAGAGACAAGUAAUCCAUACCCAUCACCACCUUCCCCUCUGACUCUCUUCUCCUUUGACUCUCCUCUCCUCUGCUCUCCUCUGCUCUGAGUGGUUGUUAGUAGUUUAGUGGCUGUUUCCCCUUCCUCUUUCCUAACUAAAUCAAUCCCUCUUUCUUCAUCGGAGUGAUGCGUGUAGUGACUGCCUCCUUUACUUCUCUGGUUCUCAAUCUGUCCUCUUUGUUUGAUGCACUAGUUCCUUUUAGUCGCACGUUCGAUAACUCAACUAAUGACUGUGGAGUGCACAUGUAUUGGGCAUUCUUUUGUCUCUGUGUCGAUAUGCGGAUGGUGUGGAUGUUGAAUGGUGUACAUUAUGUGGGUGUACGUCUUCUUUUAGUGUCCAGGUUGAUCUCAUGUUAUCUGACAGUGCAUUGUCCUGCUGUCAAGGCCUUUUUAGUAUUUGAUACAAAAUGAGAUUGGGAACACAAAAAAACACUCUCUGCUCUAUGAAGAAAGAGCUCCAUGUUUUUACACAACCCUACAGAUCAUGAUUAUUGUUAAAACCAACUUUGAUUUUACAGUCCUUGUUCUUAAAUUCAUUCCCUACACUUCCAGAUCUGUCAUAACAAACUCUGUGGAAAUCUCAAUUGGUACUCUGCUAUUCCCUAUAUUCUGCACUAUACUGUAUCUGGUGGAAAGUGGUGCACUAUAGGCAAUUUGUGAUGCAGCCUCGUACCUCAGAGGGCCUUUUGUUCUUGUGAUGCUUUCAAAAAUCUGUUGAUGUGUCCAUGAGCAAGGAACUUAACUCUAAUUGUUCCAGGGUUGCCGUCAAUAAUGGCUGUUCCCAGGCUCUGACCCCGCUCUCUAAGGGUUCUCAAGAGUGGUGGGAUAUGCAAGAAAACGAUUUACCAAUUCGCACUUGUACAUGUGUGAAAUAGGACAAAUGUAAGCACCCAUUGAAUUAUUAUCGUGUUAUGAUUAUAUUCAAAAUACGUCAAUGUCAUUGCAAUGAAUAGGCUUGUACUCAGCAUGUCAUCUUACUCAGUCAGAUUCAAUCAACGUUCAUUCAGAAAGCAAUGCUUUUAUAGAGACGCUUUUUAUUCCUCCUUUGUCCAUGAAUGCAGAAUGACGAGCUGUGGCCCUCAGAUUUUGAUGGUCACAGAUGACGGUGUGUGUGCUUUUGUGUGUGUAUGUGUGUGUGUGUGUGUCAAUGAGGCCUGUCCUAGAGGAGAAAGAUGACCUUUAGAUGUCACACUGUGAAUGUGAUAUGUGAGACACGUGAAAGGCAGAUUGAACAAGCCUGUUUUGUUUUUUAUUUUCAACUCCUUUUGAGAUGUUUUGAAGUGAAAAUUAGAAAUGCAGUCGCUAUCUCACUUUUUCAAACAACAGUGAUUGAACAGUGGAGGAAACAGAAAAACGGAUUUUCAGUAACAAUGGAAAUUUGCUUCAAAAAUCAAUGUUUUAUACAGUACCUUGCAAAAGCAUUCACCCCCUUGGUGUUUUUCCUAUUUUGUUUCAUUACAACCUGUAAUUAAAUAGAUUCUUAUUUGGAUUCAAUGUAAUGGACAUACACAAAAUAGUCCAAACUGGUGAAGUGAAAUGAAAAAAAUAACUUGUUUUAAAAAAUGCAAAAAAAUAA